GACGAACGCUGGCGGCGUGCCUAAUACAUGCAAGUAGAACGCUGAAGGAGGAGCUUGCUUCUCUGGAUGAGUUGCGAACGGGUGAGUAACGCGUAGGUAACCUGCCUGGUAGCGGGGGAUAACUAUUGGAAACGAUAGCUAAUACCGCAUAAGAGUAGAUGUUGCAUGACAUUUGCUUAAAAGGUGCAAUUGCAUCACUACCAGAUGGACCUGCGUUGUAUUAGCUAGUUGGUGGGGUAACGGCUCACCAAGGCGACGAUACAUAGCCGACCUGAGAGGGGGAUCGGCCACACUGGGACUGAGACACGGCCCAGACUCCUACGGGAGGCAGCAGUAGGGAAUCUUCGGCAAUGGACGGAAGUCUGACCGAGAAACGCCGCGUGAGUGAAGAAGGUUGUCGGAUCGUAAAGCUCUGUUGUAAGGGAAGAACGAGUGUGAGAGUGGAAAGUUCACACUGUGACGGUAUCUUACCAGAAAGGGACGGCUAACUACGUG
rnacentral:rRNA from 1 species